UGACCGGUAGAUACUCAAGUGUAUUUUAAACACAGGCGAUUUCCUAGGAUUUAAAGCUAAGCUUUGGAAUUUGUGCAACCUGUGGCCACCUUCUUGGAAAACAUAGUGGAAGAUGGCAAGGAUUGGACUAAAUCACCGAGCAUGCCUAUGGGUUUUCUGUGAAGAGCAUUUUGGGGUUUGGGGUUUUAUUUUCAGUUACCUUUCCUAUACACUCUUGCACCACUAGGGGGAGAUGGUUAAUCACUGAUUGGAGUUACUGGCAUUGUUCCCUUCCAUAGGAGAGCCCCAGGACGGCUUUUCAGAAGUGGGCCUGAGAGUUCACUGCAUGAUCUACAUGUGCCAGCAGUCCCCACACGGGAACCCACACAUGAUGACGUUAUGUUCAUCAUGGUGACCUCAGUCAUGCAGAAAAGAUUAAACGGUUUCAUAUACUCUG